CCUGUUCGAGCGUCAUUUAAACAAUCAAGCCUUGCUUGGUCUUGGGUGUGGUCGAGUGACCCGUCCGUAACCCGUUGGCGGUGCAGUCCGGCUUCAAGCGUAGCAAAAAUUUCGCUUCAGGAGUCCGCGGCGGUACUUGCCAGGUAACUUGCAAUCUAAAGUUUGACCUCGGAUCAGGUGAGGAUACCCGCUGAACUUAA
rnacentral:misc_RNA from 1 species